GCCAUAGCUCAGUGGUAGAGUAUCUGCCUUGUCUGCGGAAGGUUCUGUGUUCAAUUCCUGGCAUCCCAAGGCA